GUGGGGAAUAUUCCGCAAUGGACGAAAGUCUGACGGAGCAACGCCGCGUGAGUGAUGAAGGUUUUCGGACUGUAAAGCUCUGUUGUUUAGGACGAAAGUGCCUGUUGCAAAUAGUUACAGGUAUUGACGGUACUGAACGAGGAAGCCACGGCUAACUACGUGCCAGCAUCCGCGGUAAUACGUAGGUGGCAAGCGUUGUUCGUAAUUAUUGGGCGUAAAGAGCAUGUAGGCAGGAAUCUAAGUCUGUUGUGAAAAUGCGGGGCUCAACCCCGUAUUGCGAUGGAAACUGGGUUUCUUGAGUGCAGGAGAUGAAAGGGGAAUUCCCAGUGUAGCGGUGAAAUGCGUAGAUAUUGGGAGGAACACCAGUGGCGAAGGCACCUUUCUGGACUGUGUCUGACGCUGAGAUGCGAAAGCCAGGGUAGCGAACGGGAUUAGAUACCCUUGUAGUCC
rnacentral:rRNA from 1 species